UUAAAAGUGAAGUCCAAUCUCUAGAACUAUGCAAUACAACAACCAUUCCAAUUCAAAACGAACUUCCUACGAACCUGAAUUAUCCGAUUUCAUGGACCAAUCGAUAUUGGAUUGGGUACAAAACUUGGGGAACAUCAUAAUAUGAUGGAAGGAGUCAUUUGGUGAGUUUCAAGUAAAAUCCAAUGGCUAAAACUACGCAAUACAC
rnacentral:lncRNA from 1 species